rnacentral:rRNA from 1 species
UGACAUACCUAUACGUUGCCUCGGCGGAUCAGCCCGCGCCCCGUAAAAAGGGACGGCCCGCCCGAGGACCCCUAAACUCUGUUUUUAGUGGAACUUCUGAGUAAAACAAACAAAUAAAUCAAAACUUUCAACAACGGAUCUCUUGGUUCUGGCAUCGAUGAAGAACGCAGCAAAAUGCGAUAAGUAAUGUGAAUUGCAGAAUUCAGUGAAUCAUCGAAUCUUUGAACGCACAUUGCGCCCGCCAGUAUUCUGGCGGGCAUGCCUGUUCGAGCGUCAUUUCAACCCUCAAGCUCAGCUUGGUGUUGGGACUCGCGGUAACCCGCGUUCCCCAAAUCGAUUGGCGGUCACGUCGAGCUUCCAUAGCGUAGUAAUCAUACACCUCGUUACUGGUAAUCGUCGCGGCCACGCCGUAAAACCCCAACUUCUGAAUGUUGACCUCGGAUCAGGUAGGAAUACCCGCUGAACUUAAGCAUAUC